UGUAACAUCCCAACUUUAAUUAAUAGAGAAAUAUUAAUUAAGGGAAAUUAUCAUAGACAAAUUGGAAAUAGUGAGUAUAACUUAUCACACAUAGCUAACAAUUACUAGUGGAAACCACAUAUUACUAACAAAGGAUCAAGUGGGACCUACACUCUUGCUUAUAACCACACAACCAUAUGACUAAACCAUCCAUUCAUUUCCACUUCCUGAGAAGGGAAAAAUCAGAAAACAAGCUCUCUCCACUUCUCUCUCCCUCACGUUCUACCACCACCACCACCAAAAGCUCUAUCUUCAUCUCCAACCACCUAUUCACAUCAGAAAUUUAGCAUGCAAUUGAGGAAUCAGCUUCAUAAGUACUGCAUUAACCAAGAUAAAGUCUCAAACACUACCCCUUUCACCUUCCUCUCAAUUGUAACUCGCCCAAAUCUCCACCAAACAUGUUAGUAAUGCACUAAUUCCUUGAUUCUAGACCUGCGCACCUCUAUUCGGAACUUGUAGCAGCAAUGGGUAGUCCUAAAACACAAGAAUUGAUGAAAACAAUGAAGGAUUAGAGAGGGACUGUUAUCGCAGGUUUGCCUAGCGAAUCGGGCUUCUCGCUUAGCGAGGAGCAGCAGAACAACUUGCUUCUGCAUGUUGCUGUUUCCAUUUCUGCCCAGCCACUCUUGAUUAUCAGUAAGAAAACUCAGAGCUUUGUUCCUUUCCUUAAAAGAAUCUGUACAUUCUUUGAUGUUAGAAAUUAUCAUUAAUUCCAUUCUUGGUAAUUACAUGUGGUUUAUGUGGAGAAAGAGGCUUGGUUAAAUAAUUGGAGCUAAGCAUGGAUUUAAAAGUGGAAAUCAGAACCACUAUAGAGGAAAAUGGAAGCUUAAGAGCAAGAUUCAAGGUCUGGGUUUGGAAGAAGCAACCAAAUUGAAGGGAUUGAUAAUCAAGGUACAUGAAUCGGGACGAAUUUCCCUACAGUUUGAGUAUCCCUUUCAUAGGUUUUGGUUUGGUAAUGAGGUCUGGAGAUGCGUUUAAAGAUGGGGUCUGAUGCUGUGAUUUUUGGCUGCGGGUUUCUACGUGUUUAAGUCACACGAACUGAUGCAUAAGUGUGGAAUCUCGAAUUCACUCAAGGAUUUUCAUCUACGGAUUGAGAUAAACAGGUUGAUCAAGAUAUCAUGGUCUACAAGCAUGGAGUUCAGAUACUUGGAUUAUGCUAGUUAAGCUGACGUCAUGUUAUCUUAUAUUUGUAUAAGAUUUAGUUUCUUUAUGUUUUCAGUUGUUAGCUCAAUUUAGUAUUAAUCUCUUGGAUUUUGUAAUCCUAUUUAUGUAUUCGGACAAUAUGUAAUGAAAAUUUAAUGUUUCCCGAUUCAGUUA